GCAUUCACUUCACAACAAGUCGUUGCCAGGCACUUACCGUAAAUCUCAGCCAUUUAUCAGUUUUUUUUUUACAUUAACUGACGACCCAGAAAUAACACGUGAUACCAAUGUAAUUUUACUAGUGGCUCACAAGCCUUGUUAGAAGUGGCAACCAAAUGUCAGAUAUCUUCCACAGAGAUAAACAAAGCAUUUAUUUUGGACCUGCCAAAAUGUUUUGAAAUGAUUAAUUUACAAU